rnacentral:lncRNA from 1 species
CCGCUGAUUAUGCCCGAAAGGCAUCACAUAAGAUAGUGACACACGAAUUGCCACAUAGCUUGAAGUUUUGACUUUUUGAAAUCGAUAACCCCUUUCUGUUUGGACUGAUAGCCCAUCCGACAUAGGGCUUUGAACAUUUCUUCAUUUAAAGGGCUCUUGAAGGUGGUGUUUGGGGGUACCCGGAGAUUCAUCGAAUCAAGAAAUUCGGCCUUGGUGAACGUCACCGUCGAUUUAUCAGUGAGAAUGAAGUUGAUGAUUUUAGGGUGAUCGAUUGGUCGGUAGGCAGAGAAAACACAUUUGAAUAGCAACGUUAGAGGAACGAUGUCAACCACUGAGUUGAAUGUGUUGAAGAGAAAGUGUUUCUCCAGGUAUCUCUUCAUGAUCUUGAUCGGUUCAUCAUAAAAGUCAUGAUCUUGAAAGAUUCCUUGAUAAUUGCUCGGAGAAAUCAUCGGUCCUAGGGUUUUCACAGUGGAUGUCGAACCGGUUGGUUUCGCUUGUUUCUUGGAAAUGCCUGAUUUCACCAUUGUUGAUUGAAAAAAAAAUUUAAAGAACUUGCCGAAAAGUUUUUUUUUUGUGCAAGAGGAUAAAAAGAAAGAUCGUCAGAUAAUCAGAAAGCAUAAAAGCUUUCUUGAGAAGAAGAAAAAGGGAUUUAUACAUUCGGAUUUGAAAAGAUAUUCAAUUGGGUCAAUUGUUUCUUUUUACAGUUGUAGCCACAAAGGUAGAGGGUUUUUACCCGAUUUAAAAAUAAUUAAAUUAAGAAAAGAAAUCCAGAAAAGACCCGCAUUAAAUGCCAAGUGGGAGCAUUAAAUGAAUGGAAUGAAGAAAUGGGUAAUCGUGGGUAGAGAUGUAUAGGUAACUAUCAGAGACAUGGGUAAAAACAUUUUGAAAACGUGUCUCUUGGCAGUAAGAGUUUGAAUAGUUACCUCAAUUUGGGUUUCGGUAAAUCUUUUAUUAGAAACAGAAAAUCUCUUUUUAUUUUACUUUAACUGGAAAUGGUUUGGUUUUUGAAAAGUUACCGUUAAGUCUGACAAACAUAUUUAAUGAAUGGAAGAAAAGCAUUCCUUUGUAAAAAUUAAAUAUUCCACUUCGUUAAAUAGCACACUUAAAAACUUUAUUUAUUGCCAAACAUGAAAAAUAGACUUCAUGUUCUUGAAAGGAAAGAACUGUAGUGAAAUCGAUUGAUUAGGACUGAAGUAUCUUGAGCACCGCAGAGAGAAUUUAUCACGAGGUUAGAUAUAAAAAUAAUAAAGUGACCCAAAGAGUACAUAAUUCGUAAAUACUCUUUGGUAACCAGAGGAUAUCGAGGAGUCAUUUAUGAGGUAUGUGCUCAGAAGUAAAUCUUAAAAGGGAAUAAAAAAAUUUAUCAUGGACAAAUACAUCUGCUUCAAGGACCAAAUAACGAGGUGAAUGAGGCAAAUCUAUUUGUUAGAUGCGAAGACCAGAGGUCUUCACGCUUUAUCCUUUUAAGAAGAACUAAGGAUCAUGAUUCAUCAUUCCUAGCAUUUCUAAGAAACCAUUAUGCUUAGUGGAAUCAAGUGCUUUUGUGAAAACAUCUGCAAUUUCUUCAUGGGAUAGAACAAAAAUAAGUUUGAUGUUACUUUAAGAUAUGAUAUUUGAGAAAAUGAUACCGUAGUUCAAUGUGCUUCGUCAUUGAGUGUUGAAUUUGAUUGUGUAAUGUAGCGAUUCCACUCUUUGAAUCAUAAUAAAUUGGUAUUUAUAACAUUUGAUAUCCAUAAUCCAUGAGUUGAUUUUUCAUCCAAAGGACAUGUGGACAACAACUGGCUAUGGUAACAUAUUUUACAUAUGUGGUGGAGAGUGAGACACAUAUUUGUUUUCUUAAAUACCAACUCACCAGUGUUCCACCACGGAAUUGACAUCCUUUGAAAUUGCUCUUAUGUUCUAAUCGAGAACAUGUAUGGUCUGAGUCUGUAAAGUCUUACCGAAUGAAGUCUUUUCCUGAUGGGUACUAGAGACCUAAAGCUUUAAAUCAAUUGAGGUAUCUGAAAAUUGGUAUGACUGCAUUCAGAUGCGACAUCUUCGAAUCAGCUUGAUAUCUGGCACAGAAACCUGUUGUGAAGAUUAUGUUUGGUCUACUUUCCGACAGGUACAGUAGAUAACCAGUCAUUCCUUGGUAUACUUUUGGAUCAACUGAUUCCCCUGUGGAGUCUGUAGCAAUCUUAAAGCCGAUGGCCAUACGAACCUUUACCGAGGAGCAGUUAUCCAUUGAAUAUUUCUUUAACAACUCUGCACUAUACUUUUGUUGAUGAAUGAAUAUUCCUUCAGGAACUUGUUGGAUUUGAAGACCAAGAAUGAAGAUAAUCUCUCUAUUCAUGCUCGUUUGAAAUUUACUAGUCAUUAGCUUGGCGAAGUGGUCUACCAUAACUUCAUCAGUUGAGCCAAAAAUAAUUUCAUCCACGUAGAUUUUUACAAGCAUUAAAUGUUUUUCACUUGAACGUCGAAAGAGGGUACGAUCAAUGACCCCAUGCUUAUAUCUAGGUUUGAUAAGAAACUUAGAACGAGUUUACCAAGCGCUUGGUGCCUGCUUCAAGCCAUACACAACUUUCUCCAAUUUGUAGUAAUGAUGAGGAAGAUCAAGAUUCUCAAAACCUGGAGGUUGUUGUAAGUUUACCUCUUCUUUCAGUUUUCCAUUGAGGAAGACACUUUUUACAUACAUUUUAUGUACUUUACCAUUUUUGUGUGCCUCAUAUGCCAGGAAGAUGCGUAUGGCCUCUAGCCUAGAAACUGUUGUAUAUGUUUCGUCGUAGUCAAUUCCUUCCAAUUGGCCAUAACCCUUUGCUAUAAGUCGGGCUUUGUUUCUGAUAACCACUCUAGAUUCAUCCAAUUUGUUGCGAAAUACCUACCAAGUUCCAACUAUGGUACCCCUUUUGGUUUGGGCACUAGAUUCCAAACCUUGUUUCUUUCAAAUUCAGCAAGCUCUUCUUGCAAUGUAACAAUCUAGUUGUGGUCCAGAAGAGCAUCUUUGAUGGUUCCGGGUUCCGUAGAGGACAUGAAACCUGCAUAAUGACAUUGUUUAUUUAAAUCGUCAGAAGAGUGAGUGUGUAUACCUGUAGAAGGACUCCUUAUUAUUUGGUCGGUGGGGGUGAUUUCUUGUCCAGAUGUGUAGACGUGAAUGAUGAUCUGCAUUUGCAUUUGAUGGAAUAUCUUCAAUUUUAGGAGGGGUUUCUCUUUAAAUGUCUUGUACUUGUUCCUCUUCAAUCUGAGAACAUCCUGCGGAUUGAUCUUGAAUGAUUUGCUCUGUUGAAGGCGAAAGUUCCCCCUGCAAAGUUGAUGGUUCCCUUGGAUUGAAGCAUUGUUAUUGAAGGGGACUGCUCCAUCUAUGACUGGGACCUGGAUGGUUGGGAUUGUUACAUGCGUUGAUGGAUUUCUUUCCUACACAAUCGGAGAAGUGGAAAUCUUUUUUGAAGAGUCUUUAGAUACUAAAGGAUCGGAGUCUUCGACAUGUUGUAAUUACGCAAAAGGAGAGGUUAAGAACUUGGAAAGUCUUGCAGUUUCUGGAGGAUCGAAAAUUGUUUCAUAGUUGACAUCUACGAUGUUUAGAGGUCCAGAUUCAAUUGGUAUGUCAUUCUCCACGAUAAAAUUUGUUUCAUUGAGAGGAGUGGUCUUCUGGACAUAGAAAUCAACAAGUUUCACAUCAAAGAUUUCUUCUAUGAUUCUUGUUUUUUAAAUUAGAACUCUAUAUGCUACUUUGUUUGUUGAAUAUCUUAAAAAUAUUUGAUCUUCCGAUUUGGGUGCAAAUUUUCUCAGAUGCUCUUUUUUGUUGACUACAAAACACCUACAACAAAAAAUGUGAAAGAAACGAACAUUUGGUUUACAAUUGUUCAAACCUUCAUAUGGAGUCUUGUCGAGUCGUUUGUUGAUAAUGCCUCGGUGUUGUAUGAAGCAUGAUGUCGAGACUGCUUAUGCUUAAAUAUAGAGAGGAAAAUUUGGAAAGUUGAGAAUUGACUUGGCAACUUCUACUAAAGUUCCAUUUCUUCUUUCUACGACGCCAUUCUGAUGCGGUUUGUAAGGAGCUGAGAAGUUAUGAUUAAUUCCUUUUGACACUAGGAAGUCAUUAACAAAUCUAUUUGUAAAUUCAGUUCCGUUGUCACUUCGGAUUCUUCGAAUGGGAUGCUUGAUUUGUAAUUUAAUUUCCUUAACGAAGUUGAUCAAGGUCUGUGGUGUUUCUAAUUUUCAUCUUAAGAAAAACACCCAUGUGAAACAAGUGUAAUCGUUGACUAUGACCAUAAUGUAAUUCUUAUAAUGUAUGCUUGCCACUGUUAAAGGGCCAUAGAGGUCAAUAUGAAGCAACUGCAAAGGUUCAGUGAUGGAAGAAUCAAGUAUCAAAGGAUGACUUCCAUUGGUUUGCUUUCCACAUUCACAAGCAGGGCAUAAAGUGUCAUUGUCAAUUUGGAGAAGAAGCAAUCCUCACACCAUCUCUCCGGUAACCAAGUUGUUGAUGUAUCAAAAAUUGAGGUGAGCAAUCUUCCAGUGCCAUAUUCAACUGACCUCGGAGAUGGCUUUUGAUAAAAAACACAGUUGUGAUUUACCGAUGACUAGAUAUAUGUAUAAUGGGAACAUUGUUCUAGCAGUCUUUGAUUUGAUUAGACACCAUGAUCUAUCUUUCGUCAUUAUGUAUUUGUAUUCGUCAUCAAAUUUAACGCGAUGACCAACUCUGUAGAGUUUCGCAACACCGAUGAGAUUGUGUUUUAACCAUUCGACAUAGGAAACUCUUUGAAUUGAGAAUUUUCCAUUUGUUAGGACACUAUAUCCUUGAAUGGUUCCAUUUUCAUCAUUUCCAAAAGUUACAUGACCAAUAUUUAUGACUACCUUAAAGUCACGCAGGUAUUUCAGCCUUCCUGCCAUGUGCGUGGAGCAGGCUCUAUCUAUCAAACAUUCUGUUUCGUGAUCCUGCUCACACAUUUCCUGCAUUAUUGGUAUGCUAAUUUGGGCACUCAAAUUUGUUUGGGGCCCGCAACACCAUAAUCAAAUUGAACAUAUGCAGUGUGUGGUUUAGUUGUGAUUUUUGAUGAUGUGUUGUUUUUUGUUUGCUUCUUAAUCUCUAUUAUUUUUGAAGCAAGGUUCUACUUUUUUGGUUUCAUGACAGGCUUCUUAACAGGUGGAUAAGCACGAACGGUUAAUUUCUAUUCAUUUAUCCAAAUUGUUUGUUUGGGUUUUGAUUUUGAGAACAUAAACCAUAUAUUUGGCCAGAUUUAGUUUUAUUUCGGCCUUUUCUUUGUCUUUUUGACUGAUAGCAGGAGUGUUAUCAACCAUUACUGCCUUGAGUUUUUGGUUAGGCUUUUUUACAGGAUAGUCUUAGGAUUUUUAGUCCUUUUGCGACUUUGAGACCUUUUGGGACUUGUGAUUUUUUGUUCCUUAUUUAACUUCUGCGUAGAAUUGGAUUUGGUUAUCUUAGUAGGUUAUUGCGAAGAGUUAUUUUGAAAAGAUUUGUCUAGUUUAGAUCUUAGGCUUUUAAAGAGUUUGGACUUUGUUAUGGGUCUAGGAUAGGAAUCAUUGGAGCUGUAGAGUUCUUGACAAUUUAAGCAUUGUCUAGUCUCGAAUUUGUCUGUUCUUACUCCUUAGCGAAGAUUUUGUAUUUUAGUGAUGGAUUUAACAGAAGUCUGCGGUGAUGCUUGUGUUGAGUGAGAUAUUGAGUGUAUGAACUAGUCACCUUUCCUGGGAUAUCUGACUUUAGGGACUCUUUUGGUUUGUCCAUAAUAAUUUCUUCGUCCAAGUUACAUCUAAGCCAGGAUAUAUCGAUCUAAUGACUGGUAUGGACUGCAUAUUUUCAGAGAGUUUUGAGGAUUCUGGGACAAUUUCUUCAACAAAACAGUUGUUGUUUAGGACAUGAAGUUCUCCAAAAUGACAUUGAAUGUCUUCGAUAUAGGUUGUGUCAUUGAUUGGGAAGUCAAAGUUCCUAUCAGGUGGACAUAGGGAUAUUCAACAUCAAACCGAGGUGGAGAUUUCUCUUAUGUAUUGUAACCAUUUGACCAUCCCAAUUAUAAGUGUUUUCUAUGCACCCAUUGUUGUCUAAAUUUUCAAUUGAUUCACUUUCAUUAAAGAUCUUUUCUAUUAUUUUUUUAAGCAUACAAUUUUAUUUUGUGCUAGAUCACGUUGAUUAAAAGGAACAUCUAAAUGAGUUUCACUAAGCAAUCUAGCAUCCUUUUCUAGUUUCAAAGCUGCUUCUAACAUGAUGACCUUAAGCUUUUUGUCUUCUAGUCUUCCUCUCAAGUAGUAUAGGAUUUGGGUUGCUAUAUUCUUUUAAUAUAAAGCCUUUUUGUAAUCUAAAAGGACGUCAACACACAUUUGAGUAAUUUGUAAAAGAUAUAGUUCACAGUCAUGCAUGAUGUAAUUAUUUGACUGAAUCAUAAGUUUACCUGUUCAAUGAUGUUGAUGGUUCUUUCCUUUUCCGUGAAGCAAUAGUUUUUCUUCAUCUCUUUAGUGUUCUCCUUUGCAACUAGACAUAGCUUGCAUCUUUUCCUGUUAUUGUCAUUGUCUUCAUCUUCAUCUCCCGAGGACCAAACUUGAUGGUCUCUUCUUACUUAUGCCACAAAGGCUUUCUCAAUCUUCUCCUUAUCUACAUCUUAUUGAGCCAUUCUAAGGUAGAAUGUUUUGUCUUUUACAACAUUAGCUUGGCAGUUUCUAGCAAAAUAAUUUUUUUGUGAAAUUUUUGUCAGAUGAGAAAUCCUUCCUUUUUCUCUUCUGUAUCUUCUAUGGUAUCCGAAGAUUUUUAUUAUUUUGAUUCUUCAGAGGAGUGUGAGAUCAUUAGUGGUGUAUUUUGAGACUGAGGCUGAUAGGAUGGAUAUCUAGGAUUUCUGGAAGACUGAGGAUAGUGUUGAGUGGAGUUUUUUUUAGAACGACAGCUACAGUUAAACGGAGGUCUUGUAAAGUGUUGUUUUUAUGGUAGUUGAGAGGAUGGAGUCUGUUGAAUUGUUGGCUAAGAAGGGAUAAUGUAUGUUGAAAAGCUUCUUCAUCUUCAUGUUCCAUUUUUUGUUCAUAUGACUGUAGUGUGUCGUCAUAUGUAGUUUGAUAUGGUGCUUUGUGGUAUGAUGAUAUUGAUGAGAUGGGAUGGUAGUCUGUGGUGAAUGGGCGACUAAGGAGAGUGGUCUACCUAGAUCCAUGCAGUCCUUCAUAACUAUAGACUCCUGAUAUUGCAGUUCAUCGUAAAUUUUAUACAUCUAAAGAGUUUUGAUUUUUCUAUCACCUUGAACUAUUAUCUUCACCAUUGUUCAGUGUUUUCCCAUGCCAUUUAGAAACUGAUGGUUUGUUUCAUGAUCAGUACGAGUGAUUCCUUCAUUCGAGAGUUUGGUGAAAAUGAGGUUGAAUCUUUUGAAGGAUUCAUCGAGACUUUCACCAGGAAGAGCUUUAAAGCUAUUGGACUCGUUUAGAGAAGUUGUCAGCUUAUUGUUGAUGGCUUUUGGUCAUAAUACAUCCUAUAUGCUCAUACAAACCCUAAUGCUUAGAUCUAUGUGUCUCUAUUGUACAUGCAAGUUAUCCAAGACUAUAAACCCGAAUUCUAGCAUUCAAGUAAUCAUAUUAACAUGAGAAUAGGUUUAAGAUGUUACCUUGAUUGUUAUGCAGCAAUAACAAUCCCAAAUCUCCUUGUAUUGACUUUAGAAAGCUUAGAGUCACAAAUGUCACUCCUUUAAUCGUUCACAAACACCAUAAGCAAGAGGAUGAAGAGGAGAGAGGAUGGAGGCUGCCCAAAACGUGUUCUAACCCUAAAAGAGAAGUUCACCAUGUUUUUGGUCCUUAAGAGAUCUAUAUAUAGUGAGGCUAUUAGGGUUAUCUAACAAGGAAACCCUAAUUUGGAUGCUUAAGCACUAAGCAACCCAUUGACUCAUUUAAUUAAGGCCUUGCACGAUUUCUUAUGUUUAAGCGUUUAUUUUGGCACAUAUCAUGCUUGUGCUGUUUAUUUUAUGUCAUUAUUAUGCUUGGUUGAAAAUAUAUGAUUUUUGCAUGCUAGUUAAUAUUUUGGACAUAAAGACAUCACAUUGUGUUUGGUUUUCAAAGUAUAUGUUUUAAACAAAAAAUAGUUUUAGAAUAAAAUGGUUUUAUCGUCUAAAACUCUAAAAUGAAAAAUUUUGGUGAUUAAACUUUAUAAGAUAUAAAAGACUAAAAGAGACUAAAAAAUGGUUUUUUUAGUGCUCAACCAAAAAAAUGUGGAUAUAAUAUAUUAAUUUUGAAAAUGAUCGUGGAAAAAUAGUUAAUAAAUUUGGAAUUUUUUUAACUUGAAGAAUCUAAUAUGAAAAAUAUGAGUUUUUCAUUUAAGUGUAGCAUGGAAUAUUGGAUGCAUGCAAUACUCACGAUACCAUGUGUUUUAAACUAGAAUUAUAAAACAUUUUUAAAUCACUUUCAGAAAGCAAUUCUAUGUCAUCUAAUUAUAAGAACAUCCGCUCAACAUUUUCUUAAUGCUGGUAGGAUAAAUGUCACAUAAUCACUUGCAUUAUAUUUUGAUGACCAAUGUACAUUCUCAUUUCCUAUAACUAGUUAUGGGCUGAUUACACAAUUUUUAAUAAUUGGAUGACUUGAUUGGAAAUCUUUUGUUAUAAAGGUAGCAUAAAGGAAAUAUGUAUGAAACAUAAAUGUGAUCAAACAUGUAAAUUAACAAAAGAGUUUUUAAGACCCCAUAAGUUUAGGAAUUACAAUUUGGUACAUCUAAUAGAUCAUUAUAUACCUUGUUGAAUUUAAUAAAUAAGAUAAAGGUCGCCUAGCUAUUUAUUUGUUUUGCAACUUGGAUCCUAGAAUUUAAUAAUUAAUGUUUUAAAAAUGGUACUAAUUUGAAAGAAAUUAAUACUAAAUAAAAUUUUGUUAAACCUUUGUAGAUAGCCCUACCUGCAUAUCUCCCACAUCACUCUCGCUCCAUGUACAUUCAAUCUCUCUUUAAAAAGGAGAAACUUGGCCAUUCCAACUUUUUUGGACCGACAUCACAAUCUAAGAAUCAUACUAAAACUAGAAAAGAAAGUCUAUGUUCUUGAGAGCCCUCUUCAGGAGGAACCACACACAACUCUUAAGGCUACACAUCACUUAUGGAUUAAAUCAUUUUGAUGACUCAAUGGAUGUUGCAUAUCUCGGUAUUGCUACCAUGAUACUUGACCUCCAAAAGGAUCUAGAACAUCAUGACACAUAUGAUAUGAUUACCCACUUGAAUGAAAUGCCCGAUCAUAAAUCAAGGAAUGAGCGCUUUGAAACAGUUAAAUGGUUACAUGAUUAUAGGAUGGAGGAAUUUGUGAGUGUGAGCACACAUUAACACAAAAUGGACAACUAUAUGAAUCACUAUGAGAGACUUCGAUCUCAUAUCCACUUGAUUUGGCUAUAGAUUGGAUCCUAAAUUAUUUUCCAAAAUCAUUUGAUACCUUCAUCAUGAAAUACAAUAUGAAUGGUUGGGAUAAAUCUAUUUCAGAUUUACAUUCGAUGUUAAAAACUACUGAGAAUAACAUUCUUUGAAAAGCAUCUCAAUUGGCCAUGAUUCGGGAAGCGGGUGUUAAGAAGCUCAAAUGAAACAACUCCAAAGGGAAGCCAUAUAUUGGAAAUAACAAAGGAAAAAUGUUUUCAUAAGCCCCACAACCUAAGAAGAAGGAGAAAGUGGCAAAAGAACAUGCUUGCUUUGAUUGUGGCAUUAUUGGUCACUAGAAAAGUAAUUGUCCUACUUAUCUUACAGGGUUGAGAAAACAAGGUCGGGUGUAACAUCCCAAAAUUUAAGACCAAAAAAAUUCAUUUUUAAUUAAGUUAUUAUAAAACCAAUAGUAUAAAAACAUUCAUAAUAAUAUCCCAUGUCAAAACCAAAGUGUCGAUAAUCAAAACAUGUUAUCAUAAAACAAUAUCAGAGUGUAAUCCCAAAGAUCUCAUAUGCGGAAAACAUAGUGUGAUGCGUUGCGAUCGAGUUCCCCAAUCCUACCACAUACCAUACAACAUACAUACUAUUUAACAUAUCCAGGUAUUGGACUACCCCUUCGGUCUCCUUCAACCGAUAACCGUCGAGCAUAUCUGGGUGUUGGCCUACCCUUUCGGUCCUAUCGAUCGGUACCUAGCCUAGAAUAUCAGGGUGCUGGCCUACUCCUCCUACCACUAUCACAAAAACAGUCAUCUAUACUAAAACUUCUACUAAUGGGCCAAAAUUGGUGUGUUAGACCCACUUCUACUGGAAGGUUCUCGUACUGUCAACACAAAACAACACCCAAUUAAUAAUUGGGUUCCAUCACAUACCGUAAGUCCACGCUUGGGGAAAAUGACUACUUUACCCUCAUCUUAGCUUGAUUCAAGCCCAAGGCCAAUCCAAAGGCCCAAAAGUCAAACUAUUGCUUAAAGCCCAACAUAUGGCCCAAUUUUCUAAAUUGGGCCCAAACCGCUCCAUGGUCUUACCCUAAGGCCCACCCAUUUCUUCCAGUCCAAACAUUGGGCAUUCUAAUUGUCCAACUUCACAUGAUCCUUAAGGCCCAUUUAUGGCCCAUCUAUGGCCCAAUUUUCGAAAUUGGGCCCAAACCCUCACAUGGGCCUUACCCUAAAGCCCAUCCAAAUAUUCUUAUUCCAUAUAAUUAUUCUUGGAUGGUCCAUCAAUAGCCCAAUAGAAAGGCCCAACUUAAGGCCUAAGCAAGAUUAGGAUUUUCACACAAAAUGACGAUUAGGGUUAAGUGUUUCUUAAUUAACCCAUUAAGGACUUAAUCCAUUAAGUCCAUCAAUAUACUAGGUUAAUCAUACAGUGUGGUCAGGCAUAAUACAUAGUCCCAAUCUGGUCAUCCAACAUGCGGGUCCCAACAAUCCAUAACCCAUAUAUCCAAAAUUAGGGUUUUUUAAACCCUAAUUAGGGUUUCCAACCCAAUCACAACCCAAUUAGGCCCAAAAGCUAAGUCUUUAGAUCAAUUAGUGUUUCAUUAGGUCAACUAGGGUUUUGUUAGGUCAACUAGGGUUAAAUAAGUCGGGCACCACCCAUUACCACCUCGGGUAGUGGAGGUCAACGGUGGCUCACGGCGACGGCCACCACCUCACGGUGGUGGUUAUGGUUCUAGUCCAAUUAUGUCCAAGCAUCACGAAAGCAAACUAAACAAAAGAAAAAGCACAUUGCCACCCAACACGGCGGCUGGUGGCGGCGGAAGGCGGCAGCCACCACCUCUCGGUGGUGGUUAUGAGUUUUCUUUUGAUUAUUCAAUCACCAAUUACAAUUUUACAAAGAAAUGUCCCAAAAUACACACACACACAACAAGGUAAACACACACACGACCACCCUUGUGGUGGCUGAUGGUGGUACAAGGUGGCAGCCACCACCUCACGGUAGUGGUGGUGGCUUUUCCCGAUUUUCCGGACGAAUAGAACAUACAUACACGCCUUUGCUCGGAGGAUGAAACCAACCACCCACCUGGUGGCGUGCAACGGUUGGAGAGUGUUAGUCAUGGUGGAACAGUCGCAUGGCGGCGAUGGCGGACGACUGCACUAGCACAAACAACGACAACAACAAUGGCUCAUAUCAUUGGCGGCGCACACGCUUGGCGGUACUGGUGGUGUGGCUGACGACGGGACAGAAGAAGAGGUGAUGAGGUUGGUGACUUCCACCGGAAAUAGAAACAACGGCACCCUCGAGUGUGUUCUUUCCGAUCGUUACUGCCAUAACGUCUAAUGGCGGCUUCUGUCUUCAACAGAACGACAGAACGACGGUAAAGCUCGGUGGUGCAUGGAGACUACGGGAGAGAUAGUGGCAGCUAAGGUUUGGCAACAUCCUUCCCUGUCCUUGACGAAUUCCUCCCAGUAACCUUGCUUAACACAUCAUCGGGUGCAAAGUUCUUCAUCUAUGCCGGUAGCGAAUGACAACACUGCGACAGCCGGUGGCCCAUGGUGGCGAUGCAAUCGGCGGCGGCGGCCGGAACGAGAGUAGUGAAGGUGGCGGUUGGAGUAUAGUGUGGCUAGGGUGAGGGUUUGGGAAGGUGACGGGUUCAUAUACCCGAUUAUUAGAAAUAUUGCCCCAUAAUGACAGAAAUGGCCCUCCCCCAUAAGAAUCUUUUCAAACGAAGUCCAUAAUUUACCAUUUAAACCCCACCUUCUGAAAUCCCUUACAAAUUAAGUCCGGAAUUUUACCUAGUAGCCCCUCCGUCUACACUUUUAACCCCUCCCAGAACAUACACUUUUAACCCCCAACUUCUAAAAUUGUGACAGUUAACUCCUCGAGACCAACACCUUGUUAUAUUAUUAUUGAUUUUAGGGCUACUAUUCACUCAUUAAUUUGUCUAUUUAUUUAUUUAUAAACGGGGUGUUACAUCGGGGAAGGAACUUUAGGUAUAUCUAUUUUCAUGAUUGAAAUGGGAAUAUUUACUUUUUCAUCUAGCACUUAGGUAUUUAGUAAUGUUUGUGGAACUCAUAUUGAUAAUUCUUUAUAGGGGUUCAAUAGGAUUAAAAAUCUAAAAAUCAUACGACAUGGAAUUACACGUUGUCAAUGGAGCAAAAGUUGUCGUCUAAGCGCUACAAAAAUUUGAUUUGUAUUUACCUAAUGACAUGUAUUUAAAGUUAGAUAAUGUAUGCUUGAUUCUAAGUUUAACUAUAAAUAUUAUUUCAGUUUCCCAUUUAGAAUAAUCUGGUUUCAUUUAUCAAUUUGUUGAUGAUAGUAUUUACUCCCUUUGAAUGGAAUGUUCCAUUUUGAGGCCAAUCCUAUUAAUGGACUUUAUGAACUAAACCUUGAUUGUUCUUUAAACAAUAAUUCCAUUUAUCAUGCAAGCAGCAAGGAGGCCAAAUAUGAUUUAAACUAAACCUAUCUAUGGCAUUAUCAUCUUGGCCAUAUAAACAAGAAGUGAAUAUCCUAAAUCCAAAAGAAUGGAAUAUGGAGGAAAAUGAUGAUGAAUCAUUUGAUAUAUGUGAAUCUUAAUAAUGUCGAAAUAUGACAAAAUAUUAUUUCUCUUGCUCAAUUGAAAAAGCUUGCGAUUUGGUAGGAUUGAUACAUACUAAUGUAUGUGGUCCUUUUCAGGUCUCGACUAGAUAUGGUGAAAGAUAUUACAUCACAUUCACUAAUGAUUUUAUUCGUUAUAGUUAUGUAUUCUCGAUGUAACAAAAGAAUGAAUCAUUUGAAAAGAUAAAACUAUUUCAAAAUAAAGUUGAAAAUCAAUUUAACGGUAUAAUUAAAAUCCUUCGUUCGGAUAGAGGGGGCGAGUACUUGAGCCAAGAGUUUCAAGAUCAUAUUAGGAGUCAUGGGAUUGUCUCACAACUCACUCCACCUAGAACACCACAACAUAAUGGUGUUUCUGAUAGGGGGAACUAGAACUGUAACGUCCAAAACUUGAGGUACAUUUUUAUCUAUCAAAUCUUGGCUUUUAAAAGAGGGCACAGUGUGGUGAAGGAUAACCACGAUGUGGCAAGCCAUUUUUGAGUCGCAAGUUAAUUUAACCCGCCACAGAGCGGUAAGUAUAGGUCACGGUGUGGCCGCCGUUGAUGACUUAACCCUACUUUUCUAGGAUUUACGCCCAAUUUAAAGGAAUGAUGAGGCAAGGGUUUGAUCACUCUCAGCUUCCAUCAGCGUCCCAAAUUUCUAAAGAAAUCCUAUUCUCCUUCCUCCAUUAUUGAAUCCCUUUUUGUGAUCUCGGAAGUAUUUUGAAGGAAGAAGGAAGAAGAAGUGACCAAUAUCCAGCAAGCAAGUCUUCAUUCUCUUCCUAGAACUCUUUUGGGCCUUUGUAAGUGUCCAAGACUCGACUUUUAUCAUCAUAAGUUUGUAGAUCUUGAGUUUUGUCCCUUAAUCUUCAUAUUCUAGUUAGUUGGAGUGGUGAGAUCUCAUAAGGUUUGCUACUUUAUGAAUCUCUAGAUCAUUUGGUACGAAUAUGGUAUUAGAUCUGAAGUGUAGUUGAGUUUUUGAGAUAUGCAAGUGAUUUUUAUCAAAAACGCUUAUUUUGACUAUUUAUGGCUUCUAGACAUGCAUUAGACAUGCAUGUCCAUAAAGCACCGAAUUUUAUGAUGAUUUUGGUAUUAGAAACAAUUCUGGAGUAAGUAAGCUAAGGACUUUUUGGAAUAAGUGCUUAAUGGGUAAAUCCAUGUCUUAUUUAGUCUCUUUGGAACCAAGGGUUUGAUAUUUUGACCUUUAGGGUGGUAUUAAUGGAUAAAGUUGGAAACUGUAACAACCUAAAUUUUUGACAAAAAGUUUCAUUUUUAUUUUAGAAAAAACCUCCACGUAUUAUAAAAAUCUAAAACAAGAUAUCCUAGGAGUAACAAUAAAAUCAUCCCAAAUUAGAGUAUCAAAAUGUAAAAAUCAUAAAGGAUCUGUCGGCCGGAGUGUACAGUCAUGCCUUCACCUUUCUGUGAUCAUAUGAAGUACCUAAAACACAUAAAUCCACAAUUAUACGCAUAAAGCUUAGUGAUACCCUCCUAAAAUAUUCAUACAACACAUUAACAAUAAACAACUAUGGGUUAUCGGUAACCUUGGAGAUUAUCAACAAUCCCAGUGGGGUAACAACAUGCCCUGUGGAUUUAUAGCAUGUUUCAGGGGUUAUCAGCAACCCUAGAGAUUCUCAGAAAUCACAAAGUUAUCAGCAAAUUAACUUAGAUAAAAAAAACAAUCAACAAAUAAGACCCAUCAAGUCAUACAUGUAAAUACCACACAGGUAAGAGUAGUAAGAAGACCCACCUCACAGAUAGCAUCUAAAAUACGACAACUCUAACAGAUAGGGCGGAUGGGAGUACUGAGGCACCUAACAAAAGUAAAUUCAUACCAUAUCAGCCUACACCCUUAAAACCCUAGUUUUUCGUAAAAGUCAACCUUGGUCAAAAAGUUAACCAUAGUUAAAAAGUCAACCACGGUCAACUCUAGCCUAGGAUCACGUCGUGACUGGAAAAAGACAAAACAGUGUUAGGGUGCAAAGUUCUCAUUAGAUGUGGCAUACCCUCUUAGAUUAUGUAAUGGGUUUAGCCUUUAUUAUAAAUAGGAAGUGAGUGGCUACCAUUUUGUGAGAAAGAACCAUUUGUGAGAUUAGUAUACUGAGAGACUUAUUACCUAACCCACUUUGUAAUAUCUUACUAGAUUAAUGAGAGUUUAAAUGAUUUAUUUACCCCUUGUGUUCUUUGUGGUUGAUUGAUUCACUUAAUCUUUAUAAGUCUGAAUUCGUCAUCAUAACCGAGUCACUACAAUUGGUAUCAGAGUGGAUGUUCUUGAAGUUUUCAAGAAAUUGAUCCAUGAUGACAACAUGAUUUGGUGAAUCACAACUUGUUGUAAUUUCUUCGUUUUUUACAGUAUUUUUUGUUCAAUAAAUCGCAUUGUUCUUUCAUAUUGAUUCAAAUUCUAUUUUCCCUCUCUAGAAUUCUUUCCUUGUUAUGGUGUGCUUCUUUUUCUUCCACUUCUCCUUGAUUUUGGAGGUAGAGAGUGGGGAUCCACUGGAUUCUUCGAGUUCGAUGAACAUAGGAAAGUCUUGGGCAACUGGUUCCUUGUUCACUUUGGUAUAAUUGUCGUCGUCCUAAUCGAAAAGUGGAUCGGUGCCGAGUCGCACUUCGGUACUCCCUUAGAAUGACCCCUUUGGUGUUGAUGAAGAUGAUAGAGGAGGAGAUGGUGGUUGGGCACCUCAAAUCUGAGUCCAUUCUCUGGUGUGAGCUUUACGGACAGUUUCUUCCAUCAUCGCCAUCCAAGCUCUCGUUAGGGCCACUUGACAAUUGGUUUCUUCUCUCCUUUGUUGGAUUAACAUGGAUUGCUCCUUCCUUGCUCUGAUUGCUCGUUUAUGUGCUUCAAACCUUUAGAGGUCUAUGUCAAAGGCUGGUCUAUAGUUCGUCCAAAUGUCACUUAGAACUUGAGAAUCUGUACUAGUUACCACCGAGUUAUCCUCCGGAUUCACGGUUCCUUGCCCAAUGAGACUCCUCGUGCGUGAUCCACUUGAUAGUAAUGUAGGCAGUAUAGGAUUUCCAGAUCUUCCUUGGUUUAAAAUCAAGUCUAUCAUUAGAUCUGUUCUGGCUUGGGUGAUUAAAUAAGGACCCUACGGUGCAAUUUGUGUUUGAUUUUUAUGUGUAAGUGAAGAAAAAAUGGAGUUCAGCUCCUGUAGGGUAAAUAUGUGCCUUUGUUUGAUCCUAAAGACCUUGGGAGGUUGAUCGACAUCAGGAUCCACUUGGAAUCCUGAUUGGGUUCUAUCUCCAAUCAAACGUUCUAAAAUUGGUUCACUUGAUCUACUAGAGUGGAUGGAUAGGGUCUUUUCAAGUGACUCGGCGUUAAGUCCAAUGGCUAGUGGAGACUAUUGAGAGUCUCCGGUAUGGGCCGUGUGAUGCUUUUGGCGAGUGGGGAAGGUAGUAUAAGCUCCUCUUGUUAGAUGGUCAGGUUCUUCUUCAUGUAAAGGGUAUGUAGUAUGUUGAGGUUAUGAUGUUGGGUGAACCUUGGUAGAUGGUCUAGUGACCGCAGACCUUUUCCUCUUUCUUUUAGUUUUUGCAACAGCUUUAGAGGUUUUCUCCCUUGCAAUCUGUUUGUUUCGAUUUCCUUUUGGUGCAGUGAUUGGUUCAAUAGUUUUAGAACAUUGUUCGUAGCCUCCAUAUGGUAAGAGNGGUAGCGUAGACGAUAUGGCGGUACAUAGUUCGUUGGCUCCAUAUGCUUAGAGACCAAUUAGAAUAUUAGUCCUACUUUAGAAGACAAAGUAGUUGAAGUUUGCAACAAGAUUGAUCUUUGGGAAGAGAGUACCUUUUAAGUUCAUGGCAGAAGAAGUAGUUGAUGUUUGCGCCUAGACUGACGUUGGUUGUGGCAUGAAGGUCUUUGAUGCAGAGAGACCAAAAGUGGGAAGAGGUGACUUCGGUGAGGCCCAGUCUUUGUUCAUUCCUUCGAACAUAGGUCAGGAAGUCGUCCCAUAAGAUUGACCUAAAAUCCACUGGUUCACCAGUGAAGAUGCUCCAUAGAAGAUCUAAAAUUGCUUUCCCAUGGUGUCUGUGUUGUCGGUUCUUUCGGAAAGGCAUCGAAUAUGAUAGUGACACACGAAUUGCCACACACCUCGAAGUUUUGACUUUUUUGAAAUCGAAAACCUCUUUUAGUUUGGACUGAUAGCUCAUACGUCAUAGGGCGUUGAAAACUUCUUCAUUUAAAGUGCUCUUGAAGAUGGUGUUUGGGGGUACCCGGAGAUUCAUCGAAUCAAGGAAUUCGGCCUUGGUGAGUGUCACCGUCGAUUUAUCAGUAAGAAUGAAGUUGAUAAUUUCAGGGUGAUCGAUUGGUCAGUAGGCAGAGAAAACACAUUUGAAUAGCAAAGUUAGAGGAACGAUGUCAGCAACUGUGUUGAAUGUGUUUAAGAGAAAGUCUUUCUCCAGGUAUUUGUUCAUGAUCUUGAUCGGUUCAUCAUAAAAGUCAUGAUCUUGAAAGAUUCCUCGAUAAUUGCUCGGAGCAAUCAUCGGUCAUAGGGUUUUCACAAUGGAUGUCGAACCGGUUGUUUUUGCUUGUUUCUUUGAAACGCCUGAUUUCACCACUGUUGGUUGAAAAAAAAUUGAAGAACUUGUCGGAAAGGCUUUUUGUGCAAGAGGAUAGAGAUAAAGAUCGUCAGAGAAUCAGAAAGCAUAAAAACUUUCUUAAAAUGUUCUUAAAGUUUUCAAAAAAUUGAUCCAUGAUGACAACAUGAUUUGGUGAAUCACAACUUGUUGUAAGUUCUUCAUUUUUUAGAGUAUUUUUGGUUUUGGAAAUUGCAUUGUUCUUUC